rnacentral:rRNA from 1 species
AACGUAGGAGGCGAGCGUUAUCCGGAUUUACUGGGCGUAAAGCGCGUGUAGGCGGUUCGGUGAGUUGGAUGUGAAAGCUCCCGGCUUAACUGGGAGAGGUCGUUCAAUACUGCCGGACUAGAGGAUGGGAGAGGGAGGUGGAAUUCCGGGUGUAGUGGUGAAAUGCGUAGAUAUCCGGAGGAACACCAGUGGCGAAGGCGGCCUCCUGGCCCAUUUCUGACGCUCAGACGCGAAAGCUAGGGGAGCGAAC